GUUGGUGUAGCUCCGUGGUAGAGUGCAAGCUUUGUAUGUGCAAUGUCCUGGGUUCAAUUCCCAGUUUCUCCC